GAUUAUUUGGUGAUGGCGGCUGCUUGGUUUUAUUACAGACUCUAUUGCCUUUUUCAUCAAUUUGGGGGGAGCGUCUGUCACUGCGGCCCCGCGAGCCAGACCCCACCGCCUUGACCCCUGGGUCAAAGGUCAGCCGGCCACUCCGCCAUUACCGCAACCCAUCAGCACUCAGCAGACAUGGCCAGACAGACACCAGGCGGACCCGGCUCCUUUUUAAUUAUGGCACUCAGACACACCACAAGUCACCGGUCAUGUUGUAUGCCUCAGUCGCUCGUCUCCCUCGGAGUCCUUGCACACCAAUCUCGUCAUACCAGAGGUUCAAAGAUGAAGAUUAUUUUGAGUGACCUGGUCUUGACAGUGAGCUUAAAGAUGGAGCGAUGUAAACUAAUGACCAGGAUUCAAACCUGCAACUUUACAGGCAGUUUAC